UCCUAUCUCUGUCUCUCGCGCGCUGUGCUCACGCAGGCAGCUGAGCCUCUCUACCACCCAUGGCUUCUCGAGCCCUCGCCGCUCUGUCCAUCCAGCCGCGUCUCGGCGCAAGCUCGGCGCCGUAUUCGGGCCGACCUAUACGUGCCACGGUCAGGCCGGUCGGGCGUGGCCGCCGGCGCCGGUCCAUGGUGGUGCGGGCCGGCGGGCCACCGAGCACCAACGUGCUCAUCCUCGCCUUCCUGCUGCCGGCCUCGCUCUUCAUUGGCACCCUCGUGGUCGCCGCUCGCGUCGCCGACGACCUCGACGAGCGGUUCCUGCGGGAGAUGGAGAUGAAUGAGGCGAUAUUGGAAGAGAACGAGGCUUCCGAGGAAGCCGAAGACGAUGGAAGGGUGUACGCCGUCGAUGGAGAGGACGUUGUGCAGCCAGCGGUGGAGAAGGAGCAAGUUCUUGUUCCUGCCGCUGCAACGCGCACCAGGAACAGGCCGAAGAGGGAGGUGUAUUAGCUAGAGGUGGCUGCGUCUGAAGUCUGAACCUUAGCACCCCAAUUAAAUUAGCGCAUGAUUCGACCGGGAUUACUACGAAGUGUAAUCCAACUCCGACAAAAGAUCUUGGUCAGCAUCGGAUCGCGCACGUAGAUCCAUGGCAGCCUGCCAGACGAGAAAGCGCGAACGCGGCGAGGCUUUGGAGGCAGCUGACGGAGACGUCGUCGCCAACGGCGUUGUCAGCAAGACCUUCGCGACGACGAAUCGGAAGAGGACGACUGGGAGGAGGAUGGCGUGCUGCUGGAGGAAGGUCCCGAGGUGGUCGACCCGCCGGCGACGCACGGCGUCGAAGGUUGCGGCGAGCAGCUAGGUGGACGUGCGCUGGAUACGCCCAGGGACGAGGAUGAGUACGUGGACAUUGAAGGUUUGUCCGACUCGGAGGAGCACGACUACGAUGGUGAGGUCAUCGACUGAUUUCUCAGUUUUUUUUUUUUUAAACGGAGGCAAAAGCUUUGCUCCAUUCUAUUAAUUAAGAAGGAGUUUUACA